rnacentral:rRNA from 1 species
UACAGAGACCUCAAGCGUUAUCCGGAAUCAUUGGGCGUAAAGCGUGCCGAUAGGUGGUUUAUUUAGUCUUGGGUAAAAGCCAGAAGCUCAACUUCUGAGUUUGCUUAAGAUACUAAUAGACUAGAGGGGCAAAGAGGUGCUUGGAACGAAUGGUGUAGUAGUGAAAUGCGUUGAUAUCAUUCGGAACACCGAAAGCGAAGGCAGAGCACUGGUUGCCUCCUGACACUGCUAGGACGAAAGCGUGGGUAGCGAAUGGG